AGCCGCACUGAUUAGAUCGGGAGACUCAUCAAUUACAUUAAGGAAACCGAGAACGUUCUACAUUCCAAUGGCGGGCUGCGCCCUUCACAGGGUAACCUCUUCACGGAGGCCGGCAGAUUACAAAGGGUGUGGGCACUCAAAUCAUUCAUACUCGGAGUUCUCAUCACAUCAUCAGUGCGGCUUCUU
rnacentral:sRNA from 1 species